UACGUAGGGUGCAAGCGUUGUCCGGAAUUAUUGGGCGUAAAGAGCUCGUAGGCGGUUCGUCGCGUCGGCUGUGAAAUCCCCGAGGCUCAACCUCGGGUCUGCAGUCGAUACGGGCGGACUGGAGUUCGGCAGGGGAGACUGGAAUUCCUGGUGUAGCGGUGAAAUGCGCAGAUAUCAGGAGGAACACCGGUGGCGAAGGCGGGUCUCUGGGCCGUAACUGACGCUGAGGAGCGAAAGCGUGGGGAGCGAACAGG
rnacentral:rRNA from 1 species